UUUCGAAUCAUUCACAAUGGGCGCAAGCCUGAUGGUGCGACGCCGCGUGGGGGAUGAAGGUCUUCGGAUUGUAAACCCCUGUCACCGGGGAAGAAACGUUAAACGUAAACAUCGUUUAGCCUGACUUAACCCGGAGAGGAAGCAGUGGCUAACUCUGUGCCAGCAGCCGCGGUAAUACAGAGACUGCAAGCGUUAUUCGGAUUCACUGGGCGUAAAGGGUGCGCAGGCGGCCGUGUGUGUUAGGCGUGAAAGCCUGAGGCUUAACCUCAGAAUUGCACCUAAAACUACACGGCUAGAGUACUGGAGAGGGUAGCGGAAUUCACGGUGUAGCAGUGAAAUGCGUAGAUAUCGUGAGGAACACCAAAGGCGAAGGCAGCUACCUGGACAGUUACUGACGCUCAGGCACGAAAGCGUGGGGAGCAAAAG
rnacentral:rRNA from 1 species